ACCUGCACUUAUUUGACGUUACCUACAGAAGAAGCACCGGCUAAACUCCGUGCCAGCAGCCGCGGUAAUACGGAGGGUGCGAGCGUUAAUCGGAAUUACUGGGCGUAAAAGCGCAUGCAGGCGGCCUGUUAAGUCAGAUGUGAAAAGCCCGGGCUUAAACCUCGGAAAUUGCAUUUGAAAACUGGCAGGCUAGAGUCUUGUAGAGGGGGUAGAAUUUCAGGUGUAGCGGUGAAAAUGCGUAGAGAUCUGAAGGAAUACCAGUUGGCGAAGGCGGCCCCCUGGACAAAGACUGACGCUCAGUACUGCGAAAGCGUGGGGAGCAAACAGGAUUAGAUACCCUGGUAG
rnacentral:rRNA from 1 species